rnacentral:rRNA from 1 species
CCUACGGGAGGCAGCAGUGGGGAAUUUUGGACAAUGGGCGCAAGCCUGAUCCAGCAAUGCCGCGUGCAGGAUGAAGGCCUUCGGGUUGUAAACUGCUUUUGUACGGAACGAAACGGUGAGCUCUAAUACAGUUUGCUAAUGACGGUACCGUAAGAAUAAGCACCGGCUAACUACGUGCCAGCAGCCGCGGUAAUACGUAGGGUGCGAGCGUUAAUCGGAAUUACUGGGCGUAAAGCGUGCGCAGGCGGUGAUGUAAGACAGAUGUGAAAUGCCCGGGCUCAACCUGGGACCUGCAUUUGUGACUGCAUCGCUAGAGUACGGUAGAGGGGGGAUGGAAUUCCGCGUGUAGCAGUGAAAUGCGUAGAUAUGCGGAGGAACACCGAUGGCGAAGGCAAUCCCCUGGACCUGUACUGACGCUCAUGCACGAAAGCGUGGGGAGCAAACAGGAUUAGAUACCCUGGUAGUCCACGCCCUAAACGAUGUCAACUGGUUGUUGGGUCUUCACUGACUCAGUAACGAAGCUAACGCGUGAAGUUGCCGCCUGGGGNGACGCGCGAGUGAAGACGAAGAGUAGAGNGNGAGAGNGCGAGGNGACGACGAGGGAGAG